AGAGUUUGAUCCUGGCUCAGGAUAAACGUUGGCGGUGUGCUUUAUGCAUGCAAGUCGUACGAGGCUAUAGUUUUCGGAUUAUAGUUUAGUGGCAAAUGGCUGAGUAAUACAUAGGUAACCUGCCUGUGAGUGGUGGAUAACUUGCUGAAAGGCAAGCUAAUACAGCAUGUGGUGAACAAGGAUUUCUUGUUUAUCAAAGCCUUCGGGCGCUCGCAGAGGGGCCUAUGCCUGAUUAGCUAGUUGGUGAGGUAACGGCUCACCAAGGCUUUGAUCAGUAGCUGGUCUGAGAGGAUGGUCAGCCAGAUGGGGACUGAGAUACGGCCCCAACUCCUACGGGAGGCAGCAGCAAGGAAUAUGAGGCAAUGGGCGAAAGCCUGACCCAGCGACACCGCGUGAGGGAUUAAGGCCUUCGGGUUGUAAACCCCUUUUCCCGAGGAAGAAGCUCUGACGGUACUCGAGGAAUAAGCCACGGCUAACUACGUGCCAGCAGCCGCGGUAAUACGUAGGUGGCAAACGUCCGGAUUUAUUGGGCGUAAAGAGAGUGUAGGCGGCUUAUUAAGUCAAGUGUUAAAUCUUCUGACUCAAUCAGGAGCUGCAUUUGAUACUGGUAGGCUUGAGUGCAGCAGAGGAAAACGGAAUUCCCAGUGUAGCGGUGAAAUGCGUUGAUAUUGGGAAGAACACCAGAGGCGAAGGCGGUUUUCCAGGCUGUGUCUGACGCUGAGACUCGAAAGCGUGGGGAGCGAAGCGGAUUAGAUACCCGCGUAGUCCACGCCUUAAACGGUGGACAUUAGGUAUGGGAAGUAUCGACCCUUUCUGUGCCGUAGCUAACGCUUUAAAUGUCCCGCCUGGGGAGUACGGUCGCAAGGCUAAAACUCAAAGGAAUUGACGGGGGUCCGCGCAAGCAGCGGAGCGUGUGGUUUAAUUCGAUAUACACGAAGAACCUUACCAGGGUUUGACAUGUCAGAAGUAGGAAGCCGAAAGGUUUACGACCUGUAUCCAAUCAGGAACUGUCACAGGUGCUGCAUGGCUGUCGUCAGCUCGUGCCGUGAGGUGUUGGGUUAAGUCCCGCAACGAGCGCAACCCUUGUUCUAUGUUAAUUUCUCAUAGAAGACUGCCUUGUACAGCAAGGAGGAAGAGGAGGAUGACGUCAAGUCAGCAUGGCCUUUAUGCCCUGGGCUACACACACGCUACAAUGGGUAAUACAGAGGGUUGCCAAAGAGCGAUCUGGAGCUAAUCCCUUAAAAUUAUCCUCAGUUCAGAUUGUAGGCUGAAACCGCCUGCAUGAAGUCGGAGUUGCUAGUAAUCGCAGGUCAGCUAUACUGCGGUGAAUACGUUCUCGGACCUUGUACACACCGCCCGUCACGUCGUGGAAGUUGGAAACACCUGAAGUCAAUGUGUUAACUUGCUUAGGUAAGAAAUAGUUGUUGAAGGUGGAGCUGAUAACUGUGGCGAAGUCGUAACAAGGCA
rnacentral:rRNA from 1 species